UACGAAGGGGGCUAGCGUUGUUCGGAAUUACUGGGCGUAAAGCGCACGUAGGCGGAUAUUUAAGUCAGGGGUGAAAUCCCAGAGCUCAACUCUGGAACUGCCUUUGAUACUGGGUAUCUUGAGUAUGGAAGAGGUAAGUGGAAUUGCGAGUGUAGAGGUGAAAUUCGUAGAUAUUCGCAGGAACACCAGUGGCGAAGGCGGCUUACUGGUCCAUAACUGACGCUGAGGUGCGAAAGCGUGGGAGCAA
rnacentral:rRNA from 1 species